rfam:Aspergillus lentulus DNA, contig: Alt09, strain: IFM 54703.
GUCAAAUGAUGAUUUACUUCUAUUUAAUCACGACGGUCAACAUAAUCUUUCAUUGAUGACCACCGCCUGUGACAGGGCAUGUAUCUGACA